rnacentral:lncRNA from 1 species
CACUUAAUCCCACAAUUUCAAAUUUUCCACUUCCUCUAGCUAUGUAAAUUAACUGAAUCCCAGGGGUAACUAAGUUUGAUGGUGCCUUAAUAGCAUUAGGUUCAAGUUUAACUCUAAUCACACUCAAACCAACAUCCUUAAUAAAAGAAAAAUCUUUCUCUGUUAAGGUUGUGACUAAUCCUACAUUUUGGGUCUUAACUUCUGGGACUUUAGAAUCAAUGUCAUAAACAAAGUCUUUAGUUAGGCCCAAUUGUGGCUUAGGCAUUGGUUGGUCUUUUUCUAAUUUGAUUAUCACAACACCCUUUUGACUUUGUGUUAACUUAUUCACUUCAUCUUUAUUUAAAUUAUAUACUUUGCUUAUUAAAUCACUAGAGAAACUUCCUAAAAUUCCUUGAACACCACUUAGGAAAAAAUAAGUGAAUUCCCCUGAAACAUGAGCUGUUGAAGUUUCUCCAAGAAAUGUGAUACUAAGGUUUGAGUCACCAUCAUUGAACCACCAUGAAACACUUCCAAUAGGGACAGGUAUAACAUCUCCUUUCUUAAGUUUCAAAACUAUCUCUUUUUUAGUGUUGGGGAGUAUCAUUCCAACUACUCCAUCAGUCCCUGCAUUUGAGAAAAAUCACGAAAAUUUGAGCGAAUAAUUUAAAAAACAAAAAUUUAAAUGUAUUUUUAGUCUUCUAUUUUUGCUGACAACGAUUGAAACGCGGCAAAGCCAACAGAAUCAAUCAUAGAGAUCGUCAUUUACAAAAUAUAAAACUAUUUUUUUGUUCAUUAGAUUAGAUUAGAUUAAUUAAAACGAUGAUGAUUAAUUCUUCUACCUUCUGUAACAAUACCAACUUUGGAUGAAUCAGCAUAAUGAGGAAGAGCAAAUCCCCUUGGCUGAAGAACAAGUUGACCAGCACCAACAUUUGUCUUAGCCAAAAUUGGAACUUGAGAACUUAGCCAAAUGUAAUAACCACCACCAUCUCCCUCAAGCAAUGGUUGUGCUGUCUUUGGUGUUAGAUCUAACUCCAUUGAUUUCUUAUCUCUUUUGUUCAUGAAAAAUUAAUCAACCAUUUCAAUUAUAAAUUAGUGAUCUAGUAAAUUUAUGUAGAAAAAGGCAUAGAAGCAUUGACGUAAAACAAAUAAUUGAAUAAGAUGUUUUUUUCACAAUAAACAAAUAAAAAUUAAGAAAUAGAUAAUGAAAAAAAAAAUUGCAAUUCGACAAUUAUAGAUGAUACCAUAAUGCUAGUUGAAACUUUGGCUAAUUUUUUUUACUCAUCAAAAUAUUUUGUUUCGACAAAUACUUCCUCCGUCCCUAAUUAUAAGCACCCUUUCAAAGAAAAAUUUAUCUCUAAAUAUAAGCCCAUUUUAAAUUUGUCCAUAUUACAUCUUUUCACAAAGGACAAUAUAAUAAUUGUAAUAUCCAAAAAAUACACAUUUAUUACACUGCUAACUUUUCUUAAUAAUCGUAAAAAAUUGCAAAGGAGACUUAUAUUAAGGACGGAGGAGUAAUUACUUCCACUUAAAAACAUGUUUUUAAUGUAUUAAAAAAAACACAUGUUUUUAAUGUAUUACAAAAAAACACAUGUUUUUUAUUAACAAAACAAAUUUACAAAACAACCCAUAUAACUUAAAUUGGUUUGUAAAUAUAAAAGUGGGUUUUUGGUAAAUAUAUAUAAUGGGAGUAUGUUUGUUAAUUUACUUCCACAUAAAUAAGUGGGAGUAAGUUAGCAACCCUGUAUAUAUUGUUUUGGUGUUAAUCCUCUAUUCUUAAAAAUAUAUUAAUAUUGGUAAAAUAAUUUUUAAAAUAUUAAAUGCACAAAUUUCAAGACAUAAUAUCCUUUAUUAAUAUGUAAUAAAAUAUAAGCAAAAGUUAUUUUUUAUAGGUUCAUUGUAUGAUUACUAUAUUUAGACUAUAUUAUAGACUAGAUACAUUAAUCAUACAAUGAACCUAAAAAAUAACUUUUGCUUAUAUUUUGUUACGAAUUGUGUACUUAACUUGUGGCCCGAGUACACUUUUUAGUAAUUUCCCAAUAUUAAAUAGUUGAGAUAUUGAUAAUAUUGCAUAUACCAAAUUAAUUAUUUGCUAAAAAAAAGGUGCAUCUUUAAAAGAUAGCUAGACAACAUUUCAUAUCAAAUAAUGCAUCUAAAAAAUACAAAAAAAUAAAAAUAAUAGAAAAUAAUAGACAAUAUUUCAAAAUAUCAAAUAAAAGUCUUCAACUCAAAAUGGAAAUUAAAUCUCACAACAAAAGAUUAGAGAAACCAUAAUUAUUAUCAAAUUCAUAUAAGUGAUGAACAUACCUGCAGCGAUCUUGGAAUUAAAGAAACUGAGAAAGAGCAAUGAACUUAGAAUGUUGGAUUGGAAUCUAGAUGCGUAAAUGUGCAAGCUGAGGUGAAGACUUUGAGGGAUAUAAAUAGAGUUUUAAAUAGUAUUAAGUACUUUAUCACAAGAGUUUUACUACUAGUCUGAGACAAGUUGUAAUAAAUUAAUAAUUGAAUGCUGAUAUGAUUAGCUGGGAAAAUAGUAAUAGUAGUACUUUUUUGGAUUAAACAGAUAUUAAAAAAAAAAGAUAAUAUAUUAAAAGUUUGAGUGUAUCUUAUCCUCACAUGAUUAAAACAAUUGUCUGAUAAUUGUUAUUUAUUUUUUUCACGAACUUAUAAUUUUUUUAGUAGUUUAGUGAUUUAAAAUUUUAAUCUAAAAAGUGAAUAAGUGAAAUGUCUGGGUUCGAAUAUCUGCUCAUGCAUGUGUAAUGCAAUGUCUCUACCAACUAAUAAAUUAAGAACACGGAAACACUUAUUACUUAUUUUUACUAUGAAAAAUGCUAUAUAUCGCGAAAGAAAUUUCACGAACAUUUUACGAAGCAGUUAUUUGCUUGUUGUAUCCUUAAUUUUAUGGUUCUCCUACCUUUUUUCUUUUUGCAAAAAUAAUUUUCUUACUUUUCCACCGAUCACCCCUUCACUUUAUUAACAUAAAUGGAUCUACGGCUGCCACGUUUGGCUGCAACUGUAAACCCCAUUUUUUUACUUCAACAUGGCAAGUUCCGUUAUCAUCCAUUGAGACUAUGUGUUGCAAAUUGCAGCUGACUGAAUGAAUUAUUUGGAUUGUUUAAAUUUUAUUUUGUAUUAAAAAAUAGUUCGUAGCCAGCCUUCGUGAUCAUUUCGUGAGACAAGUUUUCGCUCUAUAUAGCAUUGCUCAUUUACUAUAUAUGGUUAGUUUAUCAUUUUCUUCCUCAAUAUUAUCAUUGUUGUCAUGCUUAAAAAAAAAUGUAAAAUACUAAUUAAAUAUAUUUUUUUAUGUCAUUUUAUAUUUAUAAGGCUUAAUUAGUCUAUUGGUCCCUUAAACACAUUUUAGGUUUUACAAUGGUCCCUUAAAGAAAAAAAGGUUCGGAUUGGUCCCUUAAAGAAAAAAAAGGUCCGGAUUGGUCCUUAAAGACAUAUAUUUUUGUCAUAUUGGUCCUUUCCGUUAAAUUUUACCUCCAAAUAUAACAAAAAAUUCCAAUGGUUAAAAUUUUAAAAAUUAAUAAGGUUUUUUGUGGACCACUUACACUUAAUGACAUCCACAAUUCAGUCUACUAAAACUACCAUUUUUUGUAAAAAAUUGACGGAAAUGACCAAUUGAGAAACAUAUGUGUCUUUAAGAGACCAAUCCUGACUUUUUUUUCUUUAAGGGAUCAUUGUGAAACCUAAAAUAUCUUUAAGGGACCAAAAGACUAAUUAAGUCUAUUUAUAAAGUAGUAUAACUAGGGACAAAGUCAGAAAUUAGGUUUAGAGGGACCGAAUUUAUAAAAAAAAAUUAAAAGCGAUUUUUUGUGUAAAAAAAGGUGAAUUUAAGUUUCAAAAAAAAAUUGUCAACAAAUCACCUUUUUGGUACAAAACAAAUACCAUUUUUAGGGGAGAAAACAUUCGUUGAGAUCAAAUUUACAACAAAUAUAAAAAUAGAACCUAAAACAUUGAAUUAAAAUAGGGUACUAUUUUUAGUGAGUUUAAUAAAAUAGGAGCGACCAAAAGUAAAAUUAAACAAAUUAUAUAAUAAUAUAGCAAUAUUAACAAAUUUUUUAAAAAAUUUUGAAGAGAUUAUCGUCACUUUUGGUCCCCAUUUUAAUUUCGUCCCUUAGUCGACAUUGAAAAUUCAAUAAGUUUAUUAUAUUUUGUCAAAUAGGUCCUAAGGCACUGUUUGGUAAGUCUAAUAAGCUAGCUUAUAGCUUAUUGAACUAGCUUAUAAGCUUGUUUGAAAAAAAUGUGAGGUGUUUGGUAACGAGCUUCUCUAACUAGCUUAUAGUGUUUUUUGAGAUGCUAUUUCAAGUAGCGUAUGAGCUUAUAGCUUAUAGCUUUUUCAUUUUAUUCCAUAUUUACCCUCAUUAAUUUUAUUUAUUUAUUUUUUAAAAAUUAUAAUAACUACCCACUAACACUUACAAAAAAAAAAACUACCCACUAACCGUGUAUUUUUAUGUCAUUUUGUACUUACAACAUCUAAAUUUGCCAAACACUUUAAUUUUAUUCUACUAGCUUUUCAGCUAUAAGCUAUCAGCCAUCAGCUAUCAGCAAUUGCAACUGAUAUUAAAGGUUUUAUCUAUAUUAAAGGUUUGUUCGGUAAAAGUAAGUUAUAAGCUAGCUGAUAGUUGAAAAGCUAACUGAUAGCUGAUAAGCUAACUUAUAGCUGCUAGUUGAAAAACUAACUUAUUAAAAUUGAGAUGUUUGGUAAAUUUAACUAUUAUAAAUACAAAAUGACCAAAAAGUACAUAAUAAUUUAAUUUUCCAUCAACUCAUUGUUUGCAUUGCAUCGUUCUCCUCCUCUCUGCACCACAUCAACAAUGGCGCUGUUCCACAUCAGCAAUUGCAUUUGUGAAAAUAUAACAAAUACAAAAUAAUCCUUUAUAACAACCGCUUAUCCUCUUUCAUGAAUCAAUUUCCACUUAAAUUACAUUUUAAGCUAUGUUUAAUAAUGAGUUUUUUUUUUAAAAGGAAUGUUUAAUAAUGAGAGUUGGAUAACUACUAUCCCAUUCACCACUUAAUUAACAACACAAUUUAGAUUCUUCUCCAAUCGUAAAAGCUACAAAUUUUUUUGUCUUGAAAGAUCCAUCUAAAAAUCCACCAGUUACAUGACUAGAAUUAAAUCACGGUCAAAGAAUGAAACGUGACCAUAGCAGUGGAGCAGUUUUUUUUUCUUUUGUCUUUGAAAGAGUCGGUUUCUCUAAUUUAAAUAAUGGUAAUAAAGUAAUAAAAUGAAAAUAAUAAGGAUAAAAAUGAAAUAAAAUCUAAAAAAUUAUAAGCUUAAACGCUAGUUGAAGGGUGUAUUUGGUAACACAAAUACGCUAACUUAUAGCUUAUUAUAUAAGCUUAUAAACUUGUUUCAAAAAAUUAGAGGUAUUUGGUAAUAAGUUUUUUUUUAUCAGCUUAUAGCUUUUUUCUAGAUGUUAUUUCAAGUAGCGUUUGAACUUAUAGCUAAUAGUUUUUUAUACUUUAUUCCAUUUUUACCCUUUAAUUUAAUAACUACUCACUCUAAAAAAAAACUACUCACUAUCAAUUAUGUCAUUUUAUAUUUAUUAACCACUUCAAAAGCUAAUUUUACCAAACACUUUAAUUUCAAUUAGCUAGUUUUUCAGCUAUCAGCUAGCUUAUAGCUUAUUUUUACCAAACAGACCCGAAAUAGUAUAUCAAAAAACGUUAUAAGCUAGUUAAAGAAACUCGUUAGCAAACACUUCAUAUUAUUAUCAAGCAAACUUAUAAGUUAGUCCAAUAAAAUAUAAACUAGCUUUAUGCAGGGACGGAUUGAAGGGGGGCAAGCAGGGGCUUCAACCCCCCCCUCCCACAUACAUAUAGUUGCUAAUGACACCUCUUAAAUAAAUUAUUGUGAUUUUAUUUAAUAAUUUUGAGUUAAAUAUAUUUUUAGUCUUUAUAAAAUUAUGAGUUUUUAAGUUUUGUCCUUCAAAAAAUUUACUUUUAAUCCAUAUUUGUAUUUUAUAGGACUAUUUUGAGGACUAAAAGUAUCUAUUUUUUAUAAGAAUAUUUCAAAAUAGGGAUUAUUCUUAACAAACUGCAAUAUUUUAAAGGAUAUUUUAAGUUAAAAUUUAAUAUGACUAAACAUAAAAACUCGUUAUUUUAUAAGGAUAAAAAAUAUAUUUAACUCUAUUAUUUAUUGUUAAAAAAGAAAUUCAGCCCCCCGUGUGAUUGAUUUCUAGAUCCGUCCCUGGCUUUAUGAACUUACAUGUUUUUUUUUGACAAAGUUUUGAAUUUUUAUAAGACGUUUAUAACGUGGGUUGGUGGGUGCGCAAAACUCGUGCAUGAGCAUUUUUAAGAGGGUGGUGCAUGUGCAUAUCAAUACGUCAUAUACUCACCCAAUUAAUUGUAGAUUCGUAUUUUUUUUCCCGUUUAGUGGCGAGAUUAGUUAAGUAUUUGUGGUUUGAAUCUCGACACAUUGAUAUAAAAUACGAUAUUUUUAUCAACUGAGUUAAGUCCUCAAGAAUUUAUAGAUUUGUAUUUUAUUACAGAGAAAAUGGGACAUGCACUAUCAGGGACGGACCCAAGGGGGACAAGGAGGGGCUCCAACCCCCCAAAUGCAUACAUGUUUCACAUGUAUAAGUUUCCAUGUAUACGGGUUGCUAAUGACAUCUUUUAAUUUAUUCACUCUUAUUUGAGGUGCUCGUACAUAAAUUAUUGUGAUUUUGUUUAAUAAUUUUUAGUUAAAUAUAUUUUUAGUCCUUAUAAAAUUACAAAUUUUUAAAUUUUGUCGCUCAAAAAAUUACUUUAAGUCUAUAUUUAUAUUUUAUAAGAACUAUUUUGAGAACUAAAUAUAUCAAUUUUUUAAAAAAUAUUUUCAAAUAACUGAUGACGCUGCAUAUAAAUUAAUAUCUUAUUCAAUUCAAUAUAUGAACUAUACAAAAUACAAGGCUAGAUGUGAAUAAUUGAUUAGUGAUAUUGAUCGAUGGAUCAACCACUAAAAUCUGCACAGGGUAGAGAACAUGAAAAACAUCGCAGGAGAUAGUUUGCUUCCAAGUUCCAUCCAAUCAAAUUAAUAACUUAUUUAAUAUUAAUAUUUUCCAAAAUUAGAAUGCACCAAAAAAAAAAUUAAUUCCAAAAGUGGAGGUAGUUUUAAAUUAGCCCAAUGAGGAAACGUGGGUGCGCAAAAUAUAUAUUGUUUUUUAGUUAGACAAAAUUCAUUGUAGUAGUACAUUUUUUUCUUUUUUACAAAACAUUGUAGUAGUACAUAUUAUGUGAAACAUUACUCAAAUAGACCACUUUUAUAAGAAACGUGGGUGCGCAAAUCCAUUGUAUUUUUUAAACAAAAUUCAUUACGGAGUUAGUCUAAUAAGCUAUAAGUUAGAUAAAUUUAUUUCUCUCGAACAACCUUAUAAGAUAGACUAAUAAGCUAUAAAAUAAUUUAUUAAACUUACCAAAUACACCCUUAAUACUUAUAGUAGUAUUAAGGGUUUAUUUGGUAUAAAAGAAUUUGUAAAGAGAGAAAUAAGAGAGAAAAAGAGAAGAAAUUCAUUUUCUCCUGAUUGGUUUAGCAUAAAAAAAAAAGGGGGAGAGAGAAAAAAAUGAUCUGGUCCACUUACUUUUUCUUUCUUCUCUAGCAUGCGAAGAAAGUGGGAGCACAAGAAACUUUUUCACAAAAUUCCAAUUUUGCCCUCAUUUUUGUCAUGAGUCGUUAUACUCUUCUUUUUUUUUUUGACGUGUUUUUGGACCAAACCAUUAUAUUUCCACGUUUUGGGUCAAAAUCAAUUUUUUUUGAAUUUUUUUUUGUUAAAUGUUGAAAUUUUUUUACAAGGCUGAAAUUUAUUUUGGUGGCUAGGAUAUAGUGAUGUUAACUUUUAUUUAAUUAUGUUCAAAAAAACUUUUAUUUAAAUAGAUUUCUCUUUCUCCUAUUUCUUUUCUUAUUCUCUUAUGUCAAACAAUACAUCAAAUCUAUUUUAUUUCUCACAUUUUUCUCUCUCUUACCUAUUUCUCUCUUCACAACUUCUCUUCCAAAUCAAACACGACGUAAGUAAAAAUUAUUAAUAGCGUAGCUACAACAUCAUAACAUGCAAACUCCAUCCACCCUUUAAGGAAAGGUUUAUUAUUCAAAACAAACAAACACCUUAUUAUUAUAGCAUAAAAAACUGACACAGGGAAUUUAUUUUGAUAUAUAAACUAAAUAGUAGGGGGAAUGAGAUUUGUGUUUUCAGUUGUCUUAGAUAUGAAAAGCUUUUGAAACUCAGAAUCCACAUUGAAAGACACUUGUUGCACCGUAGGUGAUAAGGCUCCAAACACCGAUACCUUGCCAGCCAACUCUUCAAACACAGGUCUACAGCAAAUACAAUUACUCAUUAAUAUGUGCAUGUCUAACAGUAUAUAUAACCAAACCAACUAGUAAAAACUAAGUUUUAAGACUCAUAUACCACAAUCAACUUAAUAUAAUGAACCCCUGAAUCAUGAACCAUAUUAAUGACCUUAAUUUUAAAUGAAAAUGCCAGUGUCUAUAGAAUAAUAGUUAAAGAAAUGGAGAAUGUUAAUAUGUGUUUUUAUCAGUAUAUGUUAAGAAAAUAAAUAUAAUUUUUUCCCUGUAUAUUCAUCUCAUUUAGGGUUUGUUUGAUUUGCAAAACGUAAAUACUGAAUAAAGUAGUACAAGACAGAACAACACAGGACAAACACUUAAGGUUUUGAACAAAUUUGUGUUAUACGAUAUUUGGUAGAAAAAAAGGUUAUUCUGCUACUUUAGAAAAUUUGUGCAGAUGAUAAAAAAGUUGUAUCGUGGUUCAUUGGGAGACAAGAAUUUCACUUUUUGUCUUGUCACUUCACUUGACCCCUAGUUUGUCCAGUAUCAGGAACAAUUUUAAAAUCAAACAUAGUACCUUUGAAGUUGUCAUUUACGGUCUUUUAUUUUUUAGCGGAUCAAACGCACUAUUAAUUAGAAUAUGAUUCUUAACCUUUAUAGAAAGAAGGUGGGGUGGGAAAGUAGGUAGUAAAACUAAUAAUUAUGGUGAGUUGCAUCUUGUCAUUAAUUAAUAUAAUAAUUAAUCACGACGAAAAAAAUUAUAAAUUUAAUUUUCUAAAUAGUAAUUCUCGGACACUAGUUAAAUAUGACCCUUUUCUUAAAAAAGAAAAAUCAAUGUUCAUUUUUAAAGUUGGAACAACUUACUUAGUAGUUGUGACAAUAGAAAAACUCUCUAAUCCUUCUUCACCUGCAAUUUGAGCAACCACAAAAAAUUGUGGCACAACAAUCAAAUGACCAACCUUAACUUCACUAUCCAAGACACGUUUUCCAUUUAAUCCCACAAUUUCAAAUUUUCCACUUCCCUUAGCAAUGUAAAUUAACAGAAUCCCAGGAGUAACUAAGUUUGAUGGUGCCUUAAUAGCAUUAGGUUCAAGUUUAACUCUAAUCGCACUCAAACCAACAUCCUUAAUAAAAGGAAAAUCUACCUCCGUUAAGGUUGUUACUAAUCCUACAUUUUGGGCCUCGGUGUCCGGGACUUUAGCAUCAAUGUCAUAAACAAAGUCUUUAGUUAGGCCCAAUUGUGGCUUAGGCAUUAGUUGGUCUUUUUCUAUUUUGAUUAUCACAACAUCCUUUUGACUUUGUGUUAACUUAUUGACUUCAUCUUUAUUAAAAUUAUAUACUUUGCUUAUUAAAUCACUAGAGAAACUUCCUACAAGUCCUUGAACAUAUUGGUUUUGUAAUUCAAACUCAGAACAUGUUCAUCCUCUGAAGCUGUAGAGCCUCUGAAGUGCUUCAGCCUCUGAAGCAAAAUAUAACCUCUGAACCUCACAACCUCUGAAGCUGAUAUAAGUUCUGAAGCUCUGAAGCUCUGUUUUGGUUCUGAUACGCGUUUCUGUUUUACUUAGCUUUUUAGAGUUAGUUAGUUUUGUACAGUUAUAAUUCAGUUACGUUUUGUUUGUCCUAGGUAGUUAUGCAGUUACUUGCAUUUGAAGUAACCACCUAUUGUAUAUAAACAAUUAAGGCCCUUUGUGGAAGAAUAAGAUUUUUACUUUUCCUUUAUUCAAUUUCUGCUUAUCCUAAAAUUCAUUCUUCAUUCAUCUUUCACCCUUCAGUGCUCCUUGUUUUGGGUUAUCCCCAACAAAGUGGUAUCAGAGCUUUCACGAUCCUAGGGAUCUUGAUUCGGAUCUUUCACAAAGAAAGAGCAUCAAAGGUUGCAGUGAUUCAAUCAUGGCUGGGAAGAGUAAUUUCCAUGNNNNNNNNNNNNNNNNNNNNNNNNNNNNNNNNNNNNNNNNNNNNNNNNNNNNNNNNNNCAUCUCAUUUCUUAAGUUUCAAAACUAUCUCUUUUUUGGUGUUAGGGAGUAUCAUUCCAGCCACUCCGUCAGUUCCUACAUUUGAGAAAAAUCGCGAAAAUUUUUGAACGAAUAAUUUUAAAAAACAAAAACUUAAAUGCAUUUUUAGUAUUCUAUUUUUGUUGAUAACAAUUGAAACGUGACAUAGCCAAUAGAAUCAAUCCAAAAGAUCGUUAUUCACAAAAUAUAAAACUAAAUUUUUAUUCAUGAGAUCAGAUUAAUUAAAACGACGAUGAUUAAUUCUUUUACCUUCAAUAACAUAACCAACUUUGGAUGAAUCAGCAUAAUGAGGAAGAGCAAAUCCCCUUGGCUGAAGAACAAGCUGACCAGCACCAACAUUUGUCUUAGCCAAAAGUGGAACUUGAGAACUUAACCAAAUGUAAUACCCUCCACCAUUUCCCUCAAUCAAUGGUUGUGCUAUCUUUGGUGUUAGAUCAAACUCCAUUGAUUUCUUAUCUCUUUUGUUCAUGAAAAAUAAACCAUUUCAAUUAUAAAUUAGUGAUCCAUAUUACUUGGUUGAAAAAGUAAUGCUAAAUACACCACUCAAAAACACAUUAUAUAUGUAUUGUUUUUGUUUUGGUCUUAAUUCCCUCGAUUCUUGUUCUGGUAAUUUGCGAUGAGUAAAGUUUAACCAAUUAUUAUUCCAAUCCGGAUUUGAGUUUAUUUUUUUCGAACAAAUUUCUUUAAAUGUAUAGUUGAUCAACUCUUGAUUCGGAUUAUGUGCAGUCACAAUUUCCUAACUGUCUGAUCUUAGUCGGACAAUCUAAAAUUUUAUGAUCGAAACUUCACAUAUUAUAAAAUAAAAAUAUUAUUUUAUUAUGGACCGUCUGAUCAAGAUCAAACGGCCAAUAAUUCAUAACCGCACGACUGCAUGCAUUCAGUAUCACUGCACAAAAUAUAAAUGUCAAUUGUUGGUGUACUUCGGUGCUUGUGAUAAUUGAGACAUAUUAUUGAGUUUAUUUCUUUUUUUGUUAAAUCUUUUUUUAUUCAAAAUGUUUUGUUUGGACAUAUAUAGAAAGAACAAAUUCUUGGACUCAUUCAUAUUUCUAACUUUUCCAUUNNNNNNNNNNNNNNNNNNNNNNNNNNNNNNNNNNNNNNNNNNNNNNNNNNNNNNNNNNNNNNNUUUACAAAUUUUUCCUUUGUUUAUUUGUACAUCAAUAUGAAUGUAAAAGUUUGUACAUCAAUAUUUUUCUGAUAAAAAAAUAUUGAUGUACAAAUAAAGAAAUGAAAAGUUGAGAUAUUUGAUGAUAUUGCAAUUAAUUAUUUGCUAAUAAAAAAAAAAGGAAGGUGCAUAUCUUUAAAAGAUAUCUAGACAGCAUUUCAUAUCAAAUAAUGCAUCUAAAAAAUAUAAAAUAAUAGACAAUAUUUCAAAGUAUCAAAUAAAAGUCUUCAACUCAAAGUGGAAAUUAAAUCUCAACAAAAGAUUAGAGAAACCAUAAUUAUUAUCAAAUUUAUAAGUGAUGAACAUACCUGCAGCGAUCUUGGAAUUAAAGAAACUGAGAAAAAGCAAUGAACUUAGAUGCGUAAAUGUGCAAGCAAUGAACUUAGUGCAUAUAUUCAAAAUGGGUCAUUCUUUUUGGGACGGAGGGAGUAGAAUAUUGGGUUGGAAUCUAGAUGCGUAAAUGUGCAAGCUGAGAUGAAGACUUUGAGGGAUAUAAAUAGUGUUUUAAAUGGUUAAACAAGUUGUAAUGAAUACUGAUCUGCUGGGAAAACAAGUUGUAGUACUUUUUAUUUUUUGAUAUUAAAAUAAUAAUACUUUUUGGAUUAAAUAGAUAUUAAAAAAAGAUAGAUAAUAAUAUAUUAAAAGUUUGAGCAUGUUGAUAUGAUAAAAAAAAUAUUUGUCUGAUAAUUGUUAUUUUUCUCACCAACUUAUAACUUAUUUUUAUUAUAUAUUUAUAGUUUAAAGUUUAUAGUUUAUCAUUUUCUCCCUAAAUAAUAUCUUUUUUAAAAAAGUAAAAUAAAAUUAAAUAUAUUUUUUAUGUUAUUUUUUAUUUAUAAACUAGUAUAAUUAAGAAUAGAGUUAGGAAUUAAGUUUAGGAGGAUCAAAUUUUUUAAAAAAAUUGUAAAAGAAAUUAAAUUUUAAAAGUAUAACAUAUAAGAUAAAUCUAAAUUUAAUAUUGUGAAUCUGCAUUUUAAAGGCCACUUUUUUUAAGUUGAAAUUUUUGUCCUCUCUAUUAAUUUUCAAAUUUAUUGUAAUUUUAAUCUCAACUCAUGCAUUAUUUCAUAUAAGUUGCGAUUUUUUGUGUAAAAAAAAAAUGUGAAUUUAAGUUUCAAAGGAGAAGUUUUGUCAACAAAUCACCUUUUUGGUACAAAAUAAAUACCAUGUUUAUGGGAGAAAACAUUUGUUGAGAUCAAAUUAAAUAGAACCAAAAAGUUGAAUUAAAAAAGAUAUCAUUUUAGUGAGUUUAAUAAAGUAGGGACGAUCAAAAGUGCAAUUAAACCAAUAAUAUAAUAAUAUAGCGGUAUAAACAAAUUUAAAAAAAGUCUAGAGAGAUGUGGCUUCGCUCGGCUAGUCCCCUUCUAGUUUCGUCUUUGAGUAACUAUGAAUUUUAAUUUAUUCGACGCUUAAAAUUCAAUAAGUUGGUUUAUCCACUAUAUAAGCUAUAAUUUAUCAUAUAUCUAAUAUGUUUUGUCAAACAUAUCCUAAAUUUAUGAGAUACCGCUCAGAAUGAUACUCUUUCCAGUCUUAUUUAUAAACAAAAGUUACUUUUUAAAUUCAUUGAAUAAUUGAUGGAUCUAGACUAUAUCAAAAUCAGAUACAUUGGUUAUUCAAUGAAUAAAAUAACUUUUAUUAUAAAUAAGACCGGAGAAAAUACUUAGCAUUUUACAGACCUAAAUUUAAACUCAGAAUUUCCCACUUAUCCACGUAUUUGAUCACUAUGGAGAAAAAUAUAUAUAUUAAAUCUAUUUAUUAAUGUUCCAAAAUUGGAGUGUACCAAUAAAAUGAUUAAUUCCAAAAUUCGAGAUAGUUCUGAAUUUUUAUAUGACGUGUAUAACGUGGGUGCGCAAAACUCGUGGUGCAUUUCAAUAGUAUCAUACUAUCACAUACUCACCCAAAUAAUUGUAGAUUUGUAUUUUAUUGGAGAAAAUAGGACAUGCACUAUGAUUUAAUACCAACAAAUAUUUUACAAAUCACCUUACUACACUUUAUUCUAACGAUAUAAUGCGGAAUAAUAAUUGAAUUUUAUUGAAUAUUCGUGUGAAAAUAUUUGAUACUAAUAUAACAUGUGCAUUAAACUCUUUAUUCAAUGAAUUUAAUUUAGUAUUUAUAUAUAUUGUCGGUGUAAAUGUUUUUUUUACGUAUAAGUCUAAUAAUAUAUUGUGUUUAUAAAUACAUAGGGUGUGUUUGAUCUGCUAGAAAACAGGGGAUUGGAUUGAACAACUUUUGUUGUACUUUGUUUGAUUUGAAAUUGCUCAUGGGACUAGACAAAUUAGGUAGCAAGGGACAGGACAAAAACAACAAUUUUUGUCCCUCACCGAACCACAGUACAACUUUUUGUCCACAGUACAACUAUAAAAAAUAUGAAAAUACUCAUUUUAUUUUCGAAUAUAAAAAUAUUAUCAUCUUUUAUCUCUCCGGUAUAGUUUUGUCAUGUCCUGUAUUAUUUUGUUUUGUCAUGUACUGUUUUGUUCAGUCCUUAUUAUUUUACAAAUCAAAAGCACUCAUAAUGUGUUGUAUUAAUUAAAUGAUGUGACAACACAUCAUUGAAUGCAUGUGUAAAAUAAUUUAGACUAACGAUUGCAUAUAAAUAAAACUUUUAUUCAAUUCAAUUUGAACUAUACAUGCAAGGCUAGAUGUCAAUAAUUGAAUCCGGUAUGUAUGGGUGUGGGAUAUGGUCCAUUGGUCCCUAUAGCCUCUGAAAAACAAUGAAUUUCAUUAUUGACGGACCACUUCCACUUGUGAGAGUGGGAUAUGUAUAGUUUGGAAAUGGAUUCUUUAAAUUUAUUUUCAUCUAUGUUUUUUAUGUGACCUUAAUUUUAUUUUUAAUUUUUUUAUUUGAUAUUUCAUUUUUAUUUAAUGAUCUCUUUUGGGUCAAUGUAGAGAAUUCAUUUCUUUAUAGUUCCUUCCUAUUGGUCCUUAUAUAUUAAUUCCUGUUAUCCGAUAAUUAUGAUUGGUUCCGUAAAAAAAUUGAAAAUAGUUCUAACAAGGAUCCGAUCUUUUUCAGCGAUUGGCCGAUUCUAUGUAAUUUUUACACUCCUUCAGAUAACAACAGUAGUACAUAUUUAUGUGAAACGUUACUCAAAAUUUUAAUAUAAAACAUUUUUUAUAAGAGAAUCUCCAAUGAUAAUAACAUUUUGAGUAUCAUAUAUUACUAAUAAAUGGUUCAUACAAUAUCAUGUAAUGUAAUAUUUAUGUAACUCAUAUAUAUAUUUUGUUCCAAUUGUGAUACCACUCGAAAUAUUAUAUAUUAUUAAUAAGUGGUCUCUUUUAUAUUUAUUUUUUAACUGAAAUUAAUUAAUGAUAUUAAAUUGAUGACACAAAUAAGCUAGCUAUAGCUUAUUAUAGUACUCCUUCCAUACCAAGAUAUAAGCAAAUAUGACUUAAAGAAUUUUGAUAUAUUUGAUUAAAGAUUUGGAGCAAAUACAUUCAUUUUUAUUAACAAAUUUUUUCUUAUAUUUUGGGACGGAAGGAGUAGUUUAUAAGUUUGUUUGAUAAAAUUAAAGGUGUUUGGUAACAAUUUUUUUUUACUACUAGCUUAUAAUUUUUUUCAAAUGGUAACAAAUGUUAUAAUUUUACUUAUAGCGUUUUACCUUUAAUUCCAAUUUUAACCUUAUUAUUUUAAUUACUUUUUUUUUAAAUAAGAAAACAAUCCACUCACAUAAAUUAAUCAUUUACUUUUAUAUCAUUUUAUGAUUAUAAAAGCUAAAUUUUCCGAACACUUUAAUUUCAUUCUACUAAUUUUUCAACUAUCAGUUAAAAACCAAUUUUUCAACUAUAAAUUAGCUUAUAGCUUAAUUUUUACCAAAUAGAGCCAAUAUAUCAUUGAUGUUAAAACACUCACAUGUAUAACAGUACAAGCAUGUUCUUAAUGUUGUAGUGAAGUGGUAAAUAUGCUCCGAGACAUCAUGGGUGUGUGUCAGUGUGUGGAAUAUUCGAACUUAAACUAUCUCAUCAUUUAUUCUAUUAUUCGUGUGUGUGUGUGUGGUGGUGGUGGUGGUGGGCGAGGGUUGGUCUUGGUCAUAAGGACAAUAGCAAAAUAAAACACGCACAAAGAUACAUAUUGAAUAAUAGAGCAUUUAUUUAUUUUUUCUUAGUGAUACUAAUUAAGUAAAAAUUAUAAAUAGUGUAGCUACAACAUCAUAACAUGUAAACUCCAUCCACCUUUUAGUAAAGGUUUUAUUAUUCAAAACAAACAAACACCUUAUUAUUAUAGAAUAAAAAACUGACACAGGGAAUUUAUUUUGAUAUAUAAACAAAACAAGGCAAACUAAAUAGUAGGGGGAAUGAGAUUUGUGUUUUGAGUGGUCUUAGAUAUGAAAAGCUUUUGAAACUGAGAAUCCACAUUGAAAGACACUUGUUGCACCGUAGGUGAUAAGGCUCCCAACACCGAUACCUUGCCAGCCAACUCUUCAAACACAGGCCUACGUACAACAAAUACAAUUACUCAUUAAUAUGUGCAUGUCUAACAUUAUAACCAAACCAACUAGUAAAAACUAAGUUUAAGACUCAUAUACCACAACCAACUUAAUAUAAUGAACCAUAUUAAUGACCUUAAUUUUAAAUGAAAAUGCUAUUUAGUGUUAAAAGAAUACGGUACUAGUUAAGAAAACUAAAUGGAGAAUGUUAAUACGUGUGUUUAACGGUACAUGUUAAGAAAAUAAAUGUAUGCAAAAUAUAAACAAUGAACAAAAUAUUACAAGGACAGUACAAAACAUAACAUCACAGGAUAAACGCCCAAGGUUUUGAACAAAUUUGUGUUGUACGAUGUUUGGUAGACAAAACAUUAUUUUGGUAUUUUAGACAAUUUGUUUGGAAGACAAAAAGUUGUAACAUAGUUCAGUAAGAGACAAGAAUUUCUUUUUUUUUUGUCCCGUCUCUUGACCUCCAAUUUAUCCGAUAUCGAUAACAAUUUUAAAAUCAAACACGGUACAUCUAAAAUUAUCAUGUUCAGUUUUUUAUUUAUUUAGCAGAUCAUGUUAGAGUAUCAUUUUCAACCUUUAAAGAAGGUGGGGGUGGGGAAGUGGGUAGUAAUUAUGCUUAGCUACAUCUUGUCAUUAAUUAAUAUAAUAAUUAAUUAGGACGAAAAGAAAUGUGAAUUUGAUUUUCUAAACAAUAUUUCCGGAAUACUAAUUUUUUUUGUUUAUAGUGUUGACAAUGAGGAUCGAAUUUAGGACCUCAUGCAUAUUACUCAAAUCUCUCACUACUAGACCAAACUGAAACGACAGUUAUAUAAAAGUAUACAUUUUUCUUAAAAAAUGGAAAUAAGAUCAAUGUUAAUUUUUAAAGGUGAAACAACUUACUUGGUAGUUGUGACAAUAGAGAAACUCUCCAAUCCUUCUUUACCUGCAAUUUGAGCAACCACAAAAAAUUGUGGCACAACAAUCAAAUGACCAACCUUAACUUCACUAUCCAAUACACGUUUUCCACUUAAUCCCACAAUUUCAAUUUUUCCACUUCCUCUAACUAUGUAAAUUAACUGAAUCCCAGGGGUAACUAAGUUUGAUGGUGCCUUAAUAGCAUUAGGUUCAAGUUUAACUCUAAUCGCACUCAAACCAACAUCCUUAAUAAAAGGAAAAUCUUCCUCCGUUAAGGUUGUUACUAAUCCUACAUUUUGGGCCUCAGUGUCUGGGGUUUUAGAAUCAAUGUCAUAAACAAAGUCUUUAGUUAGGUCCAAUUGUGGCUUAGGCAUUG